CCCCGCCCGUUGGGGCGGAGCGGGACCCGUGGUGAUUCCCGGACUCUCGUCCGGAGCCGGGGGCGGGGUCGGCGGCGAGGUGCCGAGGGACCUCUGCCCUCCCGCCGCUAGCACCUGAAGGCCGCAGAGACCUGCCCUUUCCUCCCCAGCCUUUUUCCCCCCCGCGGGACUGAGGCCAUCCUGGCAGGCGGGUCCCGAGCCGAGGUAGCUCUGCCUUGCCCUCCCUAACCUCACCCGUAUUUGGCUCCAGAGUUAGCCAGCCCUCAGCUUUUCUUCCUUUAAUCAACUCCCACUGGCGGCAUCCUUUUCAAAUAUGAUGCCUGCUUUUCUUGAAGGCGACCUUCUCAAAGUUCUGAGAAUUUCUUGUUAGGGCGGUAUUGCAGACAGAUUAAAAAAAAAAAAAAAUCACAGUAAGGAAAGGGAACAGUCAGUAUGGACAUAGUAAUACCUGGGAGGAUCUUCACACCACUGCCUAACCAGAACGCCUGUAGAUUUUUCCAGUCUCAUGAAUUAACCAAAAAAGUCCCGAUUCUGGAAUCAUCCCACGAAUACUGUGAUCUGCUGGGACUAUUCUCUGGGUUGCCAAUGGCUGAGAAUUGAAACCAUGUCAAGAACUUUGCCCAUUUCUCAUACCUCAAAAACAAACAGAAUAGAAAGGAGAAAGAAAGAAAAAAAAAAAGACCUUUUUGUCUGUGUUCAUAAUUGCAACAAACGUUUCUCAACGAUUGAACUAUCCUUGAUGAGACAAAUAGUAUUAUAGAGAAAAAUGUUAAAUUGGACUUCAGCUGUACCCCUUAUUGGUGAAGUGCUUGUGCAAGAAAUCUCUUUUCCUCUUGGCUUGUGAAUGGGGGACCCUACGUAAACUUCCCCAGUGGGAACUUCUGUUUCUCCAUACCGGUUAACUGGCUUGUCAACGAUUCUGUUUUGAGAACACAAUUUUAUGUACAUCCAGAGAAUUGGACCCACCAACCCAGAAGUUUUCAAACUGCUUUGAACCUAGGAACUGGAGAGACUGGAGGAUCUCUUUCCCAGUUAAGAUUUGGGUGUGGAGAAUCCUAGGGACUAUGGAGAAGGAAGAGUGUGGAUCAUCACUGGCCUUGAAUUUUAAAACAUUCAAAACAUUUUUUGUGCAGGCAUUAAUAACAGACUUGAUGAGAGAUAUCUAGCAACCGAGGACCUCAGAGUGAAAGAGUGAGGAAUCUGACAACCUUCAGAAAGGCAUGUCUUAAUUUUCCAUGAAGAUGGCAACUUGCAAAUAGGCAGUAGCCAACUAAACUGCCCCUCUCCCACCUUGUGAAGCCUUUCAGAGGACCCUGGAGGAACAGAUUGUCAUUUUGUCUUCAGACUUGUUCACCAUCUAACCUCUCUAUUUAGACUGCCAAAUGAUGUCAAAGACAUCCUGUCAAAAGCCAAGAACUAUGAACACACAUUAAAUCUGAUGAAGUGAGAAGACUCCCAUUUUGAUAAUCCUCUUAUCUUCACUCUCCAACUAAAGUUAAGGAAGAAAGAACUAUUGGCAUUCAAUAAAGAAUGAUGGGAACCCCCGCUUUCACUUGCUCUGACCCCACAUAGGAAGAGAAGUAAGUCAAAGAAAGUCAUAAUGACACAUAGUUUUCAUUACUAUGUGAUAUUUCAAAGUUAAAGGAGAGAGGUAAUACAGAGGGUAUACUCUCUCUUAGACUCAUAUCUUUUCACAAGGUUCCCAACCAGGAUAUGAUUAUAGAAGGACUAUCCUCUCUUCUAGGGACCACAUUGUAUUCGUAGGAAAAUUCUAGUAGACGUUGACAUUGUGAUUCUGUGUAUUUAAGUGUUGUAGCUUUGUUUUAGGCAUAAGUAAUUGAAUCUGGCUGUAACCCAGCCUGUAUCAGAUUACUUCACUGGAGUUGAGUGGGUUUAGAACUCACCUCUCCUCUCUUUGGGUCCUAUGGUGGGAGCUGCACACUCUUGUUGAGACAAAGAAGAUGACCUAAGAUAUGUUUCUAAGUUGUGAGUUAUUUUUACACAACCUUGUGAUAAGGAGUAUGAUCUUUACAAAAGGAGCAAUGGUCUUUAUUAAAUAGGUUGUCUAAGAGUAUUACUGGAGAAGGGUGUCUUUGGUGACUGUAUUGUUGGUUAUAUCUGACUCUAAUUCACGGGAUAUUGCUUUGAGAAAACUAUUGCUAAUAGUCCCUAGACUAUCAGUGACAUUUCCUGUGUUAUUAAUCAUAGAAAAGCUGCCAUAAUUUCAAUGUACACAUCUUCCUUGACUUAUGAUAGGGUUAUGUCCUGAUAAAACCCUGAUAAAUGUUGUAAGUUGAAAAUAUCAUUAGUUGAAAAUGCAUUUAAUAUACCUAACCUACUGAACAGCAUAGCUUAGCCUAGUCUUUUGAAUGUGCUCAGAACACUUACAUUAGCCUGCAGUUGGGCAAAAUCAUCUAAUGCAACGCCUAUUUUAUAAUUAAAUGUUGAGUAUUUCAUGUAAUUUAUUGGAUGUUGUGUUGAAAGUGAAAAACAGAAUAGUUGUGUGGGUGCAGCAUGGUUGUAAAUGUAUCAGUUGUUUACCCUCAUGAUCCCAUGGCUGACAGAGCUCCGACUCACUGCCAUUGCCGAGCAUCACUAGAAAGGAUUGGACUGCAUGUUACUAGCCUGGGAAAAGAUCAAAAUUCAAAAUAAAGUUUCUACUAAAUGUGUAUCACUUUCACACUAUCAUAAAGCUGAAAAAUCAUAAGUCAAACCAUUGUAAGUUGGGGACCAUCUGUACAGUAAGUGGCAUAUAACUAACAUUCUUGUUUAUAUGUGAAUUUCACAUGUUUUAUCUUUUGGCUUAUUGGACAUAGGUCAGUGAAAAGUAAGCAUUGUUAGCACUAGGGAGUUUUCCACAUGUUAUGUCUUUAAACUCAAUGAAUCACUGUAACAUCCAAACUGGCAUUGUACUAUUUAUACUGUCUAAUCAGGAAUAUAAUUUCACAACAUCGAAUUUGCAGCACAACCCUAGCAUUGCAAUUUAGCACACAUUUUGUUAAUGUGCUUUGUAUCCCAUUAAAGUCUCAUCUUCACAGCCCAGUGCCAUAUGUUACCGGGUCUAGAGUAAACCUCUUAAGUAAGAGGAAAUAAAUGGGAGUAAAAUUACAAUGUGACAUAUGCUAUUGGUUACCUACCAACAACCAGUCCUCUCUUCUUCCCUGAUCAAACCCCAAUUUUGUUCAAGUUUGGGAAAAAUGUGCUCAGGAAAGAUGAGUUCACUUCUAGCUCAGGUAUGAAAUAUGAAGGAUAUCGCCAUAGUAUCAUUCCCCUUUCAACCAGAGAUUCAUUUGGAAUUUGUAUGUAACUGAGUUUUGGCCAAGAGGACAUGAAAAAAAGUCUGUUGCAAGGCUUCUGGAAAAAGUAUUUUUCCUGAUAAAGAAAUACGCGUUAAGGAGAAAACUCCUCAGUUCCCUUUCCUUUCCAGCCUUUGGAUGUUGUUAUGAGGAUUUAAUGCAUAGAGUUACUGCUGCCUAAGGGGUUGGGGAUGAGGAAGUUUGUGACAGGCAGUGCAAGGCAAGGUUACUUGCCAGAGGUUAGAACGAGCUUAGGUACUUUAAGGCAUUGUUAGGCUGCUGAGCCAAUGCUUAGAUCUGUUUCUCGCUGGACUUCCUCCUGAAUGUCAUAAUAAAUGUCCUUAUUGUUUAAACCACAUUUAGUAGGGUCUUCUGUUACUUACAGACAAAAGCAUUCCAGCUGAUAAAAGAAGUUAGUUAAAAGAAUGCAGUUCGUACCAUUGUGGUUGCUUUUCUCACAGGCAAAGGUAAGGCAAAGAGAAGAGCAUUUCUGGUUUACUAAUGAGCUUUUUGUAGAUCUGGUAGUUUACAGCUUGAAAUGUAUUCCCCCCACAGAAAAUGUUAUAAAUGGUGUCCAGGUUCCCAAGGUAAACCCAUAAGGCCUAUUUAAUCCAAUAAUACCACAAAAUCUGUAUGGUCUAGGAGAAUUGAAUCACCUUGAAAAACAAUGUUUCCUUUGGGAUGAAAAUGUAUUCAAGAAAAAAAAAAUGAAUUCAGAGAUCCAGCUUGGCAAACAGAAAAUAAUUACCCCAACAUUAACAAAACUGAGGACUUCUCUUCGUUAUGGAUAGAGUAGUGGGAAGAUUUAUUAACCCAUAUCCCAAAAGGCAGUGGUAAUACCUGUUGCCUGAGAGUCAGCCUGAGAGGGGUCAAAGGAGCAGCAUAGAAGCUUGGCAAGUGGGAGGGCUAAAUGUUUUCUUUCCCCUCUACCUCUAGUUUCAGGAAUUUACCUGCCUGUUUCAAUUGCUACGCUACUAUUUCUAAUAAAACAAUUGUCUUCCUUUCUUCUCCCUGGAGAGAAAAGUUAUCCAUAACUUGUGGCAUACUCGGGCAGAAUUAAGAGUGUUAUAUUAAUAUUGUUGCUUACCUGGUUCUGUUCACUCUGAACUGCUGGUUCUAGAUGCAGAACUAGAUGCAGUUCACUCUAGAACUGCUGGUUCUAGGUGCAGCCUCCCAAAGGCUAAUUGUAAGAUAUUGUCUACUACCUAAGGUAUCUCUAUAUGAGUAAAGCUAUGGGGGAGGGUAUUUAACUUGGGAUCAAGUGGCAAGACAUUCUACCAAUAUUAAGUUGUGUUCUGUUUAAACCAGUGAAUGGGGAAGAUGUGAGAAGUCUGUUGCUUGCUUCUCCCUAAAACUCAAGAAGUUUGCCAGAUUUUGUGUUCUGAGUUCUGAACUCCUUGCUUGUGGAAUUCUUGACCACUUUCAUGUGGCAGGUCCAAGAACUGAAGGGUGAUCAGGACUCCAAAAGACAAUUUCCACCCUGUCUUUGUUGGUUUGUGUUCUCUUUAAGCCUAAACUUGUAGAGAAGAAGGCAGACAAACUGGGGAGGAGAUAGGCUUUCCAGGAGUUUUCUCAGAGCUUAGAACAUAAAUGAGGAUAUAGAGGCCUUUCGUUGAAUUACAGAAAUCUGAGACGUGUUCCCACCCUGAACCCUUGAGAUGUGUCCAGAUCUUUGAUGGGCAGUACAAGGAUGGGGGGAGGGAUUAGUUCUUGUGAUAGGCAAUAAAAAUAAUUAUAAUAAGAAUAUAUCCAGUCAAUCACAUAUGAAUUAAAUAUGAAAGGUGAUGUGUCUGAUAUGUCUCUGAGGAUUUCUCUGCUUUUUCCAAUUUUCACCGAGUUCUGUGAAUAUGAGCAUGAUUUCUAGUAUACCACACUUAAAAUCUCCUUUAUGCAUAACCCAAUAUCAUAUGGGUUUCUUAUGCACACAACUCCUUCGAGGAUUGCUAGAGAUUUUUAACUGAUAAUAACCACAA